UCUAGCUGGGGUACUGGGGGUGAGAACCUCCAGCUGAGGCCUGAAGACCAAGAUUUCUAUAGGAAAAAGCAAGAAACAGCACAACAGCCAGCAGGUGCCACACAUGCAAAAAUACAGCAGGCUGUGGCUGGCUCAGGAAAUAGGCCCAGGUCUGAUGUGUUUGGAUGAAUGGGAGUAGAGGGGGGGAGUUGGCUGCAGAGAAAGAGAAACAACUAAAAGGCAGAGUGGGGCCAGAAUAUUUGUGAUGAGCUUUGAAUGCCUAAAUGUGAGGAGUUCCUAAGAUCCAGGGAUGACAAAUCAUCACCUUGGAAAAGUAGAUUUUAUUUUUAAGUAAUUGAAACUCAUGUGGAGCUACAUCUCAAGAAUAAGGAGACAUGUCUUAGGAAUGAAGAGACAAGCAAGCUGUGGAAUGCUAUUAGUAGUGAAGAGAGUGUUAACUACCAAUGUGAAGCCUAAGCUGAUGGCUAAGGUGGAGCCCAGAGGAAAACUGUGAAGUAAGGAGAACAAUCUGUGAAGACAGGACCUGGGGUGCAGAGAAGGUGGCUUAGGAGGUCCCAUAAGUGAAGAAGCGUGUCCUGCCCGACUGACCACCAAGUGGGACUAACUGUGGAAGCCGGGGCUCAUGCUCCUGGCCAAUACCUUCUGUCUUCUGAGCUGGUGUGGGGCCCCUCCCCACUCACCGUUCCCUCUGGGUUCUGGUCAGGGAGGCCAGCCCCGCUGCUGGAGGGGAGCUGCUGGUGCCUGAGGUGCCCACGCAGAGGGCCCUUCGCCAGCCCCGAGGAAGCCAGCUGGCACCUUCUCUCUUUCCCUGCUUGUCUCCUUAGCGCUCUUUAACUCAAAAGGCACCACAAGGAAAAGGUAAGGGCAAUACAAGAGACUUAGAGAACCCAAAAGCCUUUGCCUUUGUAUCCAUUAAUUCUGAACUGGUCUUGGGGAAAUCUGUCUGCAACAAAGUCCACUCCACAUAAAGAACUUUCCCAGUGAUGCGCUGGACAAGAACUUUAACCUAAAAUAAACACUUUAAUAGUGGGGUUUUAUAAAGCAGGGCUAGGAUGCCCCUUGGAAAUGUCUGCAGGAGACAGUCUUUGCCUAUCACAUCCCAUUUCAGGUGCCCCCACGUGCCCCCACUUGCUCCCAGAGGCACCCUAUCCUUAUACCCGUCAAACAGCAGCUCUCUCAUUGCCCCACCCCUUCUGCCAUAGAGCCUCUUGUUCAGCUUUAACCCAAAGCUGACUCCCCUUGGAGUGCAGGUGGGUUCUGACCUGGGGACAAGGCUGACAAAUGGUUGUUGGUGGGGCAGUCCCUUAAGUCUUGCGUCUGCUGCAGCCUCCUCCCAGCUGCUCCAUUAGACCCUCUGGCCAGGAAUUCCAGCCCUCAGCCCUCACCCCCAUGAAGGAACCACCCCCAAGUGCACUGGGGCUUCUGAGCUCCUCCUUAGACUCAGUAGGGCUCCAGGGACAGAGAGGCUGAGGCAUGUUGUUCUGCUACAAUACUAAUAAUAACAAUAAAUAUAACUCUAAUUAUGUGCCAGUCACUGCUCUGAGUACUUUACCUGCAUAUAUCCAUGUAAUCUUCCCAAUAACCUUAUGAGACAUAC